rnacentral:rRNA from 1 species
UACGUAGGUGGCAAGCGUUGUCCGGAUUUAUUGGGCGUAAAGGGAGCGCAGGCGGUGACUUAAGUCUGAUGUGAAAGCCCACGGCUCAACCGUGGAAGGUCAUUGGAAACUGGGUCACUUGAAUAUAGAAGAGGAAAGUGGAAUUCCAUGUGUAGCGGUGAAAUGCGUAGAUAUAUGGAGGAACACCAGUGGCGAAGGCGACUUUCUGGUCUAUUAUUGACGCUGAGGCUCGAAAGCAUGGGUAGGCAACAGGAUUAGAUACCU